AUGUUGGUGACAAAACAUGGAAGCCUAGGCAAGAAAGAAGGUUCUAAAGGCCCCCUUGGGGUCCCAGGGCCUGGCCAGACUGAAGAGCCUUUUCUGACAUCCUCAUUUGUUCUGCGGUGUAAUAGCAUGGGAUCUUUCAGAGCUGUCGACAUCUGCUCCACUCUAGAGAGCUGCAGAACCGAGCCAGUAAAGCAAUAAUAAUUAUGCCCGAAUGGACUGCAAAGGAUCUGUUGUUACACAAGAACGAAAGAACCGAUCUGCAAAACAGUCAGGCUGCUCAGUGACACACUUGGUCAGUUCCUUGAAUAACUAGUCAGUUUAACAAAGGGAAUGGAAAUCAAAUAAAUGCCUCAAACCAG